rnacentral:lncRNA from 1 species
UUUACGAUUCGAUUUAGCAAAGUUUUUAAGAAAAUUUAUAAACCGAAAGGUUUUGCUAUUGAGAAAGAUGAUGAACAGUGGUUGUUUUGAAAGAAUAGGGUUUAGUGAGGUUACCAUUAAUUAAUAGUCUAGAUCUGUAAAUAUACAUAAGUUAAGAGGGUUAAAAAUUAGAAAAUAAAGGCAAGUAAUAGCAUAGCGAAAAUCUAACAUAAUUAAUGUAAAUAGGGGGC